UAAGGUCACAUGUAAGCAUCUCCAAGAAAAACCAAGUUUAGUUUCAACCAAUUCUUUGAUGUUCUAUGUCACACCUAAAUAAUGGUAUUGCACCUGUAUCGGCCCAUCGAUAUUGCUAUGGUUGAAAUUUGACCUGAGGGUGACCAUGCUGGAGGAAGCUGAGAAGAUGCCGUCCGGGAUGGAGAAAGGGAGCCGACCUCCUGUGCACCGGUGUACUUGCACGAAGCCUUAGCCGGGGAUUCCGAUGAAGCCCUUCGAUGGCUAAGUUAGUAUUGAUUCUGAGUUUAGAAAAAAUUUCUAAGUGCCUUUCAA
rnacentral:lncRNA from 1 species